AUGGCGUCGAGGAAGAAGAGUGGCAGCGAGCCAUCAGCGCCGGGCCACAGCGAGAAGGUCCCGAGGGGGCACGUCCCGAUGGUCACCAGCUGCGGCGAGCGCGUGGUGGUGCCCGUGAAGCUCCUCGCUGUUCCCUGCAUCGCGGAGCUGCUUGACAUGGCGGCGCAACGGUACGGGUAUGGCCAGCCGGGCGUGCUCCGGGUACCUUGCGAUGCGGCGCAUUUCCGGCGGGUCCUGGAUUGCGCGCUGCGGAGAGCCGGCUAG
rnacentral:rRNA from 1 species